CAGAGAUGCUGCCUGACCUGCUGAGUUACUCCAGUACUCAGUACCUUUUUUUCUGUAAACCAGCAUCUGCAGUUCCUUGUGUCUACCUCAGACAAAUUUGGUGGUUUUCAGAGGUCAGAAUUUUCUUACAGGGAUCUGAGAGACAGACUGAAACAAGAGACUGCAUUUGCUGACAUCUUCUGAGGAAGGAAGGUUCAGUCCAUUUUCAGUCACUAAACAUUGCCUAGUCCACUGAGUGCCUCCAGCAGUGUGUGUUUGUGAAGAUAGGAGUUAAAUAAUCACUGGAGCACCCAUUGCUCUUGCAAGCGAGGGGCCACCAGUUUGUUUAAAAGUCAUCAGCGUGCACAUAUUUGAUUAUAUACACUGAGUGCGGUUCUGAUUUAUUUACCGAACGAGUUGCUCCAGUCCUGGUUUUAUUCUUCUCCUCCCCAACUAUUCUCAUCUAAUGUGCAUUUUCCUUUACUUACAUCUCUGUAUUAAGAGUUCUUGUUUCCAGUGAGUCUCGGAAAAGAAUGUGGGUUGGAACAGAUUGAAACCCAGCAUUUUGUGUUCAAAGACCCAGCAGCUUCAAGACACUUUUCAUUCUGAGGCAUGUUCUGGCCAAUUUUGGAACUGAAAUGGAAAAUGAGAAAUGCACUACUACAGAAACAUGUUCAAGACAAAGUAGAACUUGUACUUUAGUAGGGGUGACACUGUAACGCAGCUGGUGGAACUGCUGCCCCCCAACGCCGGAGACCUUAAUUCGAUCCUGACCUCAGGUGCUGUGUGUGGAUUUUGCACAUUCUCCCUGUGAUCGGGGUGGCACGGUGGCGCAGCGGUAGAGUUGUUGCCUGGAGACCCGGGUUCGAUCCAGACUACGGGUGCUGUCUGUACGGAGUUUGAACAUUCUCCCCGUGAGCUGCGUGGAGUUUCUCCGAGAACUUCGGUUUCCUCCCGCACUCCAAAGACGUCCAGGGCAAUUUACAGAGGCCAAUUAACCUACGAACCCACACGUCUUUGGGAUGUGGAAGGAAACCGGAGCACCUGGAGAAAGCCCAUGCGGUCACAAAGAGAACGUACAAACUCCACACAGGUAGCACCCGAGGUCAGGAUCGAACCAGCGUCUCUGGUGCUAUGAGACAACAGCUCUACCAGCUGUGCCACUGUGCCGCCCAAAACAUACAGUGUCACCCUGUGCUGAGAAUAAGAUUUAUCAUCAACCAUGACACAUGAGGAACUGAGGAUCCAGAAUAACUUAUUGCAAUUCCACACGUUGAUGGAUUUAUAGUGAUGGAAUAUCUCUCACAAAUUUGACCAAACAUACUUUAAAAAAACAGCAAACUAAAUUAAUUGGGAGUUAUCUCGAAUGUUACAAUCAAGCCAAGCACAGUGUAAGAUACAUGAUACGGGAAUAAUGUUUUGUGCAAGGUAACACCCAUAAAGUCCGAUCAAAGUUAGUCCAAGGGUCACCAAUGAGGUAGAUAGUAGGUCAGGACUGCUCUCUAGUUGUGGUAGGAUGAUUCAUAUGCCUGAGAACAGCUGGGAAGAAACCCUCUGAAUCUGCAGGUGUGCGUUUUCACACUUCCAUAACAUUUGUCCGACGGAAGAGGGGAAAAGAGGGAAAAUGCUGUAAGUGGACUAAUAAAUAUGUGUUGUAUCUUGACGUGUGUACGACUCAACUCAUUACACCGCCCAUCCCAUUAAGUCACCACAUCCCAAUAAACUGUUCAAGAAGUGUUUAAAGUAGUGCAGUAUAUAAUAUUGUUUACGGCAGAGAGAAAGAAGGCUAUUCUAAUUGCAAAGAGACAUGUUUAAUAUGUGAUUUUGUGGUGGAUGGGUUUUGUGCAUCAGUGUCUCUGUCCAGGUUCACGGCUAUACAAGUAUGUUCACUACAGUGCUUGGCUUCAUGGCUUGACUAUAUCUGUAUGCUUAGAACAUAUCUGGAAUAACAAAUCCCCUUGGAUUGCAGGAGGCUGAGAGAUGAUUUUAUGGAUGUGUAUAAAAUCAUGAGGGGAAUAGAUAGGGUGAAUGCAAUCUUUUACCUAGGGGAUUGGAGUCUAAAGCAUGAGGACAUAGCUUUAACGUGAGAUGGGAAAGAUUUAAUAGGAACUUGAAGGGCAACCUUUACACACAGAGGGUGGUUGGUACAUGGAACAAGCUGCCAGUGGAGGUGAUGGAGGCAGGUACAUCAACACAUUUAAUAGACAUUUGGACAGGUACAUGGAUAGGAAAGCUUUAGAGGGAUGUGGGCAAAAUGUGGCGAAAGUGACUCGCUUAGAUGACAUCUAGGUUUGCAUGGACAUGUUGGCUCAAGAGUCCUGUGGCUGCAUUGUGUGACUCUAUAGCUCCAUGACAAGAAGAGAUGUGUUGACAACAUUUUGCAUUGUGUCAUCUUCUCUUCCCAUUCCCAAAUGCAUGCACGGUUCACCUGUUUGUGAAUAAUACAUUUAUUUUCCCCUCUGCAUUCCAGAGAUUGUACAUCUUCAACUUCAACUAGAAUCUCCUCAGUCUUGCUGCUGGAAGUGCCUUCUGCCCAUUGAGUCUACUCUGCCAUUCAAUCAUGGCUGAUCAACUUCCCUCUCAGCUCCAUUCUCCUGCCUUCUCCCCAUAACCCUUGACACCCAUACUAAUCAAGAACCUAUCAAUCUCCACUUUAAAAAUAUUAAUUGCCUUGGCCUCCACAGUCUUCUGUGGCAAUGAAUUCCACACAUUCUCCACCCUCUGACUAAAGAAAUUCCUCCUCAUCUCCUUUCGAAAGGUCUGUCCUUUUAUUUUGAGGCUAUGACCUCUGGUCCAAGAUUCAUAGGGGAAACAUCCUCUCCACAUUCACUCUAUCCAGGUUAUUCACUAUUUGAGGCUGGAAGCCGGAAGAACGGGAAGAUAGAUGGGAAUUAUGAACACUGUGAAGGAGUUUUUCUCUACAAAUGGCUUAAGUCCAGAGUGUUUUAUUGUCAUCCGUUUCAAAUCAGAACAAUUAA